GAUGAACGCUGGCGGCGUGCUUAACACAUGCAAGUCGAACGGGAAACCUUUUAUUGAAGCUUCGGCAGAUUUAGCUGGUUUCUAGUGGCGGACGGGUGAGUAACGCGUGGGUAACCUGCCUUAUACAGGGGGAUAACAGUCAGAAAUGGCUGCUAGUACCGCAUAAGCGCACAGAGCUGCAUGGCUCAGUGUGAAAAACUCUGGUGGUAUAAGAUGGACCCGCGUUGGAUUAGCUGGUUGGUGGGGUAACGGCCCACCAAGGCGACGAUCCAUAGCCGGCAUGAGAGAGUGAACGGCGACAUUGGGACUGAGACGCGGCCCAGACUCCUACGGGAGGCAGCAGUGGGGAAUAUUGCACAAUGGGGGAAACCCUGAUGCAGCGACGCCGCGUGAAGGAAGAAGUAUCUCGGUAUGUAAACUUCUAUCAGCAGGGAAGAUAAUGACGGUACCUGACGAAGAAGCCCCGGCUAACUACGUG
rnacentral:rRNA from 1 species